rnacentral:sRNA from 2 species
GGUGGUGGUGGGAGGGGCACACCCGAUACUGGGGCCGGAGCUGGAUAUGGUGGUGGGGGAGGAACGCUUAGUGACUGGGAGAGACAAACGUGGCGCUGUGCUAAUUGCUCCGUCUGGGGCACGGCGGUUUGGGCUGUUAGAGAUGGACCAGCCGGGCCAAGGACAUUAUGCCACAACUGCGGCCUACUCUAUGAACGCGAUAAACGGAUACCAGCAUGGUCCACGGCACUGCAUCGCAUUGAUAUACCAGCGGGGCGUUGAUUUUAUAAUUUAUUCCCUUCUUUAAAAAAAAAAAGGAUGAUCAAAAUCGGAAUCGGAGUCGGAAGGAAACCUUUUUUUGGGGCCCCCCCUUUUUUUUAUCUGUUUUCAUGGUUUACCAUAUUCAAAUUUCCAAAACGCAUAGAACAAUUUUUGAUUUAAUUUGGUCGGAUCUAAUCGAUCGGUUCUGAUCAAUCCAUUUAUUGACUGAGUGCUUACCCUACGGUGAAGGCUUCCUUUUUUUUUAAAAAUGUAACUAACUGUCUUCUGGACCGAGUUAUAUCCAUUUCUCUGCCAAACUCUUUGGCACUGCCCCUUCGACCUCUUUUUUUUCCCCUCUUGAAAUGUAUAAUAUGUAUGAAGAUUCCGAGCACUGCUUUUCUUUAUUCCUUUCCAGCUUUUACCCUGCAAUAGUCGGCUAAUAGUGGUGUAUUGGACAACGGCAUAUCAAUUUAUUCAGUCCGCACGCAAAAUGAUAGCUUUCAUUUAUCAUUUACUCCUACGGAGCAGUCUGAUGGUUUAACUUACUAUUUUUAUAAGAUGUAAAAUUUUCAACUUUUAUCUGGGGCGCUAUCUUGGGGCGAUUGGGGAUGUGGGACGCUGCCAUCAACAUGGCAUCUGUGUUCACAUUUAAAACAGACCUGAACUCAUAACGCUCUCUUGAAGGUUUCCGCACCCUAGCUCACAAAAUAUCAUCGUUAUAUAUACAUUAAACUAUUUAAAGCCUAUCCUUCCUUUUAUGUACAGUACAGGACCAAAAAAAAUCAUGUCGUCUAAUCAUUCAUCGUGAUUGUUCUUUUUGUCAGUCCUUUAUGCAGGCGUCUUCCUUUUCCUUUUUUCCCACAUCCGAGUUUUGUAAAAAAAACAAACAAACUGCAAAAACCUAGCCUCACAGGACACCCACUACCCCCUUCCGUGCUUGAAUAACGGCCAAUGAAGCGGCAUUUUUUCCACGCUCAGGCAUCCAUUUAUCGUACCGUGUUAUACAAGCAUGCGCGACACAAUGCAGAAACUACCAAAAUUUAAAAUGUGUCAACAGCCAUUCACAAGGUCACUGAUUGGCAUUUGGCAAUGAUGGCAACAAGGAAUCAGGUUGGCGUCAAUGGCAGAAUAUGACAGAUAUUAUUGUAUUCAUGCAUGCGUGCUGUUAGGAGCAGUCAAUGGCAAGGAAGAAGACCAAUGGGAGGAGUAAUGCUUGGCUGCAUGAAGGUGGAAGUGGAAGCAAAAAUAUACCUCCUGAGGUACGCUUUUCGAAGGGGUUUUUAUAAGGGUCCGGUUUGCGGGAAUGGGCGGGUGUACUGUGCUCGAGAAAACGCCAUGUGUUCGUCUAUUGGAAAUAUAUCAUGCCAUACAUCCACGGUGGGGUGUCUUAUUUCUUUGCCAGGGAAUUGAGUCGUGGAUCUUUCAGCUGUACUCACUUUCCUCGUACAUGGACUGGAGGAUAAUCGCUCGUAGAUGCCGAAAAAGGAGAAAACAAAACAUUUUGCGUUUUCCAGUUAGUUCGACGAGCAGCUGGAGAAAUAGCGUUGUGGUGGUAUCUGUAUAAAAUCUACAGAAUGGUGGUGACUUCGGUUAUAUUUGCCUCUUCUUUGAAAGGAUUUCGAUGGGCUGCGAGCUAGCCCUCCUUUUCCUCCACCGCCUCGACAACUCCUCCUUCCCAUCGAAGGAAGAAUCGGAAUUUCCAACAUGGCUCAACGCUGAUCUCUUCGGAACACCCGCGCGCACGACAUUCCCAUCCCCUUUAAUACGUAUGCCAGAGCUUACGUUCACUUCCACAGGCCGCUGCCUGCCCGUCUCUUUAUCAUCCAUGAUGCCAGAAGUUUUUAGCGCGGAGAUAAUAGCUGUCGCCAGCUGUGCAGAUUUGACCUGCCGCUGUUGCUGGAGUUGCUGUAGAGGAGAACUCCCACCAGCAGGCAGUGAUGUAGAAUGCAGUUUUGAAGUGGGGAUGGAAGCAGGAGGCUCCUCCGAUGUCGAUGCGCCCAUUGAUGUGGGGAUGGCGAUAGUAUUUCCCUGCCCCUCAAUAUUUAUCGAUGUAUCGAUUUUGAUUAUGAUAGGGACAAUGGCUGCGCUCUCUUCGUCAUCGUCGUCAUCCUCGACGAUGUCUCCGAGUGUGUCCUCGAGUGAAGGACGAGCUGUUGCGAUCGCAUAUGUUGGUGGCGGUUGAGGAGGAGCAAGACUGUUUUGGGACCUGAGGCUGGCGACGAACUCUGCCAGCUUGUGACUUUGGUGGUUGAUGGAGUCUGAGGGGGGCUGCAUUUUAUAUUUCGGUAGAGUAGAAGGCGAAUAAUGAGAGGACAAGUAGAUAUCGGAUCUCGGAGGUAUGGGGACCGUACGGGAGAUGAUCGAG